CUGUUUCUGUUUCUCUUUAAAUCAUAUAAAUCUUUCACCUUUUACUAAAUAUUUCCGUCGAGAGUAAUAGCCAAAGUCUUUCUCAAUUUUUUGAUGCUCUGUGAAAGCGGAGCU